rnacentral:rRNA from 1 species
GUCCUAGCCGUAAACGUUGGGUGCUAGGUGUGGGCGGAUAUCGACCCCGUCCGUGCCGAAGCUAACGCAUUAAGCACCCCGCCUGGGGAGUACGGCCGCAAGGCUAAAACUCAAAGGAAUUGACGGGGCCCCGCACAAGCGGCGGAGCAUGCGGCUUAAUUCGAUGCGACGCGAAGAACCUUACCUGGGUUUGACAUGCAGGGUGAAACCCGUGAAAGCGGGCGCUCUUCGGAGCCUGCACAGGUGGUGCAUGGCUGUCGU